rnacentral:rRNA from 1 species
CCCCUAGAUGUUCUGGGCCGCACGCGCGCUACACUGAACAGUUCAACAAGUCUUAACCUUGGCCGAUAGGUCUGGGUAAUCUUUGAACGCUGUUCGUGAUUGGGAUAGACCUUUGCAAUUAUGGGUCUUCAACGAGGAAUUCCUAGUAAACGCAAGUCAUCAGCUUGCAUUGAUUACGUCCCUGCCCUUUGUACACACCGCCCGUCGCACCUACCGAUUGAAUGGUCCGGUGAACCCUCCGGAUCGGCCCGCGCCAACGCAAGUUGAGCAAAGGCCGAGAAGUUGGGUAAACCUUACCAUUUAGAGGAAGGUGAAGUCGUAACA